rnacentral:tRNA from 1 species
GCGUGGGUGGGGUAGUGGUAACCUUAGUCGUUGCCAAAGGGUAUCGAACCCUCCAAACUCGACUAGCCAGGGGUUCGAUUCCCUUUCCACGCA